UUUACAAGUACAAAUCGCCACCUCCACCGGUCCAUUACUAUUCACCUCCAUAUUACUACAAGUCACCUCCACCUCCCUCACCAGUUUACAAGUACAAUUCCCCACCUCCACCAGUCCACCAUUAUGAUCCUCCAUAUUACUACAAGUCACCUCCACCUCCCUCACCAGUUUACAAGUACAACUCCCCACCUCCACCAGUCCACCAUUACGAUCCUCCAUAUUACUACAAGUCACCUCCACCUCCCUCACCGGUUUACAAGUACAACUCCCCACCUCCACCAGUCCAUUAUUAUUCACCUCCAUAUUACUACAAAUCACCCCCUACUCCUGUGAAAUCGCCACCACCUCCAUACUACUAUAAAUCACCGCCUCCUCCCUCACCAGUUUAUAAGUAUAGCUCACCACCUCCACCAGUCCACCAUUAUGAUCCUCCAUAUAACUACAAGUCACCUCCACCGCCUUCACCUGUUUACAAGUACAACUCCCCACCUCCACCAGUCCAUUAUUAUUCACCUCCAUAUUACUACAAAUCACCCCCUCCUCCUGUGAAAUCGCCACCACCUCCUUACUACUAUAAAUCACCUCCUCCUCCCUCACCGGUUUACAAAUACAACUCACCACCUCCACCGGUUUACAAGUACAACUCACCACCUCCGCCAGUCCAUUAUUACUCUCCUCCAUAUUACUAUAAGUCACCUCCACCUCCUUCACCGGUUUACAA
rnacentral:lncRNA from 1 species